CACGUAGGGCGCAAGCGUUGUCCGGAAUUAUUGGGCGUAAAGAGCUCGUAGGCGGUCUGUUGCGUCCGCUGUGAAAACUCGGGGCUUAACCCCGAGCCUGCAGUGGAUACGGGCAGACUAGAGGUAGGUAGGGGAGAAUGGAAUUCCCGGUGUAGCGGUGGAAUGCGCAGAUAUCAGGAGGAACACCGAUGGCGAAGGCAGGUCUCUGGGCCAUUACUGACACUGAGAAGCGAAAGCAUGGGGAGCGAACAGG
rnacentral:rRNA from 1 species